UUCGUCGAGUGCCGAACCGGAACCGGAUGGUGUGAUAUCAGAAAAAUACGUCCUAGCUCUGGGAGCCGGCGGUGGUGGCCUCGUCGUCGUCGGGCUGUGUAUCGGCUGCGUCUGCUGCUGUCGUCGCCGCCGAAAUAAUCACGUCGUACGAAAGAAUUCACGGCAUCGAGGCAUGAACGGCAACAGCAGCAGCAACAGCAGCAGGGAUCAGGCGCUGGUACCGGCCAGCGGCAGCGAGUUGCAAACCUAUACCGAGUCGCCGAGGGCACGGCACCACGAUCCGCGUAGAUUCGAGUAUGCCCAGCCACUAGCCGGUCUUACUGAAACUAACUUCUUCCUCGCUAACGGCAAUGUGAAAAGCGGCGGCCCCGGCCACACACAGUAGGCUGUGACGUCACCGGAAGAAAUGCGGAUGAUCCCGCCGACGUACGGGUCGCCGCUCGUCGCCAACUGGCAACCGGAAGUGACGUGCAUUCCCAACGCGCUUCCGGUUAACUCGCUUCGAGACGCGACGAAGUCGGAAUUCGAAAACGGUGCGACGUCGUCGCCGGACGCGCA